rnacentral:rRNA from 1 species
GACGAACGCUGGCGGCGUGCCUAAUACAUGCAAGUAGAACGCUGAAGAGAGGAGCUUGCUCUUCUUGGAUGAGUUGCGAACGGGUGAGUAACGCGUAGGUAACCUGCCUGGUAGCGGGGGAUAACUAUUGGAAACGAUAGCUAAUACCGCAUAAAAUGGAUUAUCGCAUGAUAAUCCAUUGAAAGGUGCAAAUGCAUCACUACCAGAUGGACCUGCGUUGUAUUAGCUAGUUGGUGGGGUAACGGCUCACCAAGGCGACGAUACAUAGCCGACCUGAGAGGGUGAUCGGCCACACUGGGACUGAGACACGGCCCAGACUCCUACGGGAGGCAGCAGUAGGGAAUCUUCGGCAAUGGACGGAAGUCUGACCGAGCAACGCCGCGUGAGUGAAGAAGGUUUUCGGAUCGUAAAGCUCUGUUGUAAGAGAAGAACGAGUGUGAGAGUGGAAAGUUCACACUGUGAUGGUAUCUUACCAGAAAGGGACGGCUAACUACGUG